UACGUAGGGGGCGAGCGUUGUCCGGAAUCAUUGGGCGUAAAGAGCUCGUAGGCGGUUCAGUAAGUCGGCUGUGAAAUUCCGAGGCUCAACCUCGGAACUGCAGUCGAGACUAUUGUGACUAGAGUCCGGUAGAGGAGAAUGGAAUUCCCGGUGUAGCGGUGAAAUGCGCAGAUAUCUGGAGGAACACCGGUGGCGAAGGCGGCAUCCUGGACCGAGAUUGACGCUGAGGCGCGAAAGCCAGGGGAGCAAACGGG
rnacentral:rRNA from 1 species